rnacentral:rRNA from 1 species
UACGUAGGGUGCGAGCGUUGUCCGGAAUUAUUGGGCGUAAAGAGCUCGUAGGCGGUUUGUUGCGUCUAUCGUGAAAACCUGCAGCUCAACUGUGGGCUUGCGGUCGAUACGGGCAUCACUGGAGUUCGGCAGGGGAGACUGGAAUUCCUGGUGUAGCGGUGAAAUGCGCAGAUAUCAGGAGGAACACCGGUGGCGAAGGCGGGUCUCUGGGCCGAUACUGACGCUGAGAAGCGAAAGCGUGGGGAGCAAACAGG